CAGGUAGCACUUAUGGUUGCAAAUGAAUUUUGGGAACAAGGAGAUCUGGAGAGAACAGUGUUGCAGCAACAACCCAUUCCUAUGAUGGACAGAAACAAAAGAGAUGAAUUACCUAAACUUCAAGUUGGAUUUAUUGAUUUUGUUUGUACUUUUGUAUAUAAGCUGCUGAAGAUUCAGGAGGUGGUAAUGACAAAAAGUCCAAAACAUGUUUAAUGUUGUAAUAUUAUCUAACUGGUCUAAACUUCAAAUAUCAUUUUACCUUUGAAGAAAACCAGAAAACAUUCAAAAGAACUUCAACAAAUCAUCAAGUAACAGGAUCUUCAGAAAAACUACCCUGUGACUAUGAAGAAAAUAUAUAUUGCUAGCCCAAAAAUCCCAGGGGCAAAAUAAAGUUCAACAAAAGUGCAAAAUAUGACAAAAAUAGGUACAUUUUUGGUGCCAAUUUAUUUUAAAUUAAAAAAUAUGCAAUCCUGAAA
rnacentral:sRNA from 1 species